AAAAUAUUCCGUGUAUAGUAGAAAAUCGAAAAUUUGUUUUCAAUAAAAUGAAAUACCUGCAGUUAUCAGACGUCGCAACUCAUUUCUGAUUAGUGCGCAUGAUAGUACAUCCAUGCGUGCAUGAUGCGCACUACUAAUGAAAUAUUUCAAAUUGUCGCGAGUGCUCAAUCGCGCGGUCCGGUUUGGUGCCGGCCCGACAAUAAAAAAAUCGAACAGUCAAAGUGCAGGACUCUUCGUUCUUCCUGCUCUUUUAAAUUCUGCUAGUGGUUGAAUGGAUCAUUGGCUGCUGUGCCUUGUAAUGGUGAACUAUGAAGCUCACUGGAAACCAUUUAAUCAACGUUUUCCAUUACAGAACAGCCGUCAUACCCACCGCUGAUAAAGGCGCAUCUCCACGGAAGUUCUAAAGCAUGAUUAAUUGGAAAGGAUGCCGAAAGACAGCGGCCACAAUCAGCGCCGCCAUAUACGAACAUCACCAUUCUUCACCAGCAGCAACACUUAUGCUACGUUUAGACAAGGCAAAUGAAUUGAGCAAGUCGCUUGAAUCGAACGCAAAUUGAGCGUGUAAACACCUUAAUUCAAAUCCCUUGAACGAAAAGAAAGUUGAACAUGUUCAACUUUUGGCAAGUCAAUUGAAUUCAACUGAGUUGUUGCAUUAUGCUACGUUUUGACAGGGCAAGUGAAUUGAACAACUCAGAUGAAUUCAAUUGACUUGCCAAAAGUUGAACAUGUUCAAUCUUUUCAAAUCAAAGAAAUAAAAUAAAAGGUAAAACAAUUAAUUGUAUUGAAUUUCUAUUGUUAUAUUUGUGUGAAAUCGUGUGAAAUGUAUUACAAAUGGUAUUGUAUUUUUACUGUAAACAAAUAAAAAACGUUAUAAAAACAU